rnacentral:lncRNA from 1 species
UUUUUUUUUUUUUUUUUUGUGUGCAAAAACUCCAACAUGCCAGUCUUGCCUUCACUAUAUAUUUUUUUAAUAUUUAUCAUGCCAAAAAUUCAGACAAGUAGUAGUUAAUAUUGGGAAGGAAAGUCAAAACAAAACCAUGAGCGUCACUGCAUUCUCUACUAUUGAAAUUAUUGCUUUGACUAACUAGAUUGCCACACCAACCAAUGUUUUGCAGAGCUGAAACAACGACUUCAACAAGAUGUGAGCUUUUACCAAAUUCAUACAGCAGUGCAGUCAGUGUAGAGCAGCCAGGGCCUCCAGUUAGCCAAAGCACCAGAGGGUCUACCUCAGGGUUUGAUUCUGACUUAACAAAGUAGUAGAACAGCUGCACAUCCUCUGAUUCACCCACUCCUAUAUACCUGAUCACGCAUUAAUUCAAUCGUCACCAGCUUGUCUGAUCAAGAAAAUUCAGAAACUAUGAACCACAUACAUGUUUCUAUGAUCAGUAUCAGUACUUACCCAGUCUCAAGUUCGAAAGGAAGCGGUCCCUCAAAUCCUGGAAGAAACUUCACUGCUGAACCCGCAACAGCAAACUUGGAACAACCUUGUAAUAACAUCAGAAUAAAGAACAAGCGGAAGUAAAGAGGCUGAUGGAAGAACAUGAAAAACGGCCUUCCUUUCCAUUUCUGUUCUGACAUCUUUUGCUGUCAGAACACAAGAAAACUUAUAUCUACUCGUGCAGCAGUGAGUGAGGAUGAAGCAGCAUAAAUGUCUUGGCCAUGGUGAUCCACUCGUAGGAAACUAACAAGCAAAAAAGAAAUUGAGGGAUGGAUGUUGGGGACAGUGCAGGGACCUAGAAUAGGUUCAUUUGGAAAAUAUUAGCAUACUGACGAGCAUUUUUUAUAUGUAAAAAUUGUGGCUCCGCUGAACGUGCGAGUAUUAGAUGGGAGAAAGAGACGGGUAGCUCUUUUCUAUGAUUUUGGUCAAUAAGACUGGUCGUUUAUUUUUCUCGUUUGGACAAUAAAUUGGCUGGGAGGUAUAUUUUAUUCAUGGACAAUUAAUGACGAUAUAUAACAUGUCCUAAUAUGCAUGAUCUCCUAGUCUAGAUCGGACUAUUAUUGGUUUGUUAACCUCUUAUGUAUGACUAAUUUCAAAAUCACCAGUAAAGUUUGGCGGAAUUCGGUAUCUAUAACACGUAAUAAUUAUAUGGUGUUUCUUCAACUUCAGGUAAGUGCUGUUCAAGUCAAGAAAUAGAUAACUAGAGAAGGGGAAAAAAAAAAGAAUUUUUAGAAAUAGAUUAAAAACCACUAUCUUUGUCUGUAGUCAAUAUUUUGAUCAGAUUCUAUCCAAUCUGUACGUUUAGCAAUCUAAAGGACAUGUUAAGGUCUCAGGCAGCAGGCAUUAAAACCUGUUUAUAUCUGAAUUUUAAUCAUAAUUUAUGACCGGGUCCAACAAGCAGCUGCUCUAUCCAACCUUCUCUUGCUCUCACAAGUGCUUAAACGACCUGCUUGGCAGUUGAUUAUGUAAAUUGCAUGAGACGAAGUUCCUAUUUUCAAGCCGUAGACUUCAAUACAAGCAAUAUUUGGCUGAAUGGAGCGGAGUAUUAAUCAACGCAUAUAUCAUCUGCUCAUUUAUCCUGAAAGUUCUUUAGGCAGAUGCAAGUAAGGCUGCCUAAAUCUACUGUUUGUUCAUUUUUCUAUGCAGCGACUGCCGGGGCUUGCACAGGUUGGAACGCCAACCCAGCGCUACCUUAUGUCCUGGUGACUCGAUCGUGCAGUCGUGCUUCAACUAUGUUUUAUUCUUAUGCAAAUUAAGUCCCAUAGUACAAAGCUUUGCUCGAAGUUUAUUGGCCCACCAAAAAUUCAGAGGUCAGUGAUUUAGUGGGAUGUUGCCACUCCAGUCUACCAUCUGUUCCUUUACUCAAAAAGACCGGGGACAAAUACAGAUUAAGUAAAAUUUUGCCUAGAGAAAACGUUUCCUUUCUAUUUUUUAAGUUUCCAGGAGAUAUGGUCGAAGAAUAGUACUGUAGCAAGUCGUAAAUCAUGCAAUCAAGGAUCAAAACUUCAUACUUUUCUUUUGCACUUAUACGAUGACAAAUUUCAGGUGAAGCUCCAAAAUCAUAAAGGGAAGUACUGGGGCCUGUUUCUGGAAUUUGCAGGAGAUGGGCCAAACUUUGUUCAACGGAACCUAAGCGCCAAUCUCACUCAAUUUAAACCAGUUACCACGUUGGUUUUUAACGUGCAGGAGUCUGGAAAACUGAGAAGGACUGUUUUCAAAGUCACAGAAAAUCACCUUCACAGGCUUACUAUGUGGUGGACUGAUCAAAUAGUAAGGGCCAAUGCCAUUUUCAAAAACGGGGUGGGGAAGGGCUGUCGACAGUGCAAUGCAGUGGCUAAGGAGUUCACCGAUCUCAUAAGCGAGCCCAGAAGAUGAAGAGCAGCCAGGACCUCCACUUAACCGAAGCACAAGCAGGUCCAUAGGAUCAGACCCUGACUUGACGAGGUAGCAGAUUAGGUGCACAUCUUCUGAUUCAUCUAAUCUUAUACACCUGGUAACAUCACACAAGGAAUCCAGUUUUUUUUUUUUUUUUAGAACUUUGAUCAACCUUAGUACCCUGAAACCAGCCAUAGCAAGUUUGAACAUACCUGUGAAAGAAGUGCUAGAACUAGAAGCAAAAACAGGUUCCAGAUCAAAGAAUCCCUAAAGUGCACAUGUUUUCCCGUCUCUUAUCUUAACAUGGAAUUCCUACUCCAACUCUAUGGAUGCCUCGUGCUCUUGCAUUUGAGCAUUGAUUGUUAUGGUUGUUUUUCUUUUACCCACUUGUAAACUGUUUGUGGGGUUAACUUUCAGCUCCCUUUAGAAUUUAUUAUAGUUUUACAUGAGUUCAUUUUAUAAGAGUUCUAUAUUCAAGUAUCUUUUACCCAGAUUCUCCUCCGUUUUUUGGUCAGCCUCUUGUGGCUAAUCUUUGAAAUGCAUGGGUUUGCUAAAGUUGGCUGAAUUUGUCAUCUAUGACACAUCGUAAUUAGAUGGUUUGUGAUAAUUGCUAUCAAUUUUUGAAGUUCAGGAAUCUAUAUCACAUAAUAUGGCAAUUGGUAAAACUGUAAAGUCUUGGGUCCUAAAAUCUGACCAUUUAUUUAUACUAGUACUAGGUCAUGUGCUUUGCCCUUGAUUGUAAUAUUUUAAAAUAUAUUGUUUGUUAGAUACUAAAAUUUUUUUAUGAAAUUUUGAUCAUCAACAUCAUAAUAUAGUAUUUUUAUGUUAUUUAGUUUUUUAAGCUAGUUACUUUUAAAAAUUUUAUUAAAUGAAAAGAGAUAGAAAACAUUUCAACGUAGUUGACAUGUUCCUUAGGAUUGAAGUUGGAAUCAUGAAUAGGGGUGCUGUCGAGUCGAGUCGAGCUCGAGUAGUGCGACUCGAGGCAAAAUAACUAAUUAAAUGUAACUUGAGCUCAAACUCAAGCUCGAGUUUAAUUAAAUGUAAUUAAUUCAAAUCAAGCUCAAUCGAGCUUAUUCGAGCUCAAUCAAGCCUAAUCAAACUCAAGUAAUAAAAAUUAAUAUUUUAUAUAUAAUUUUAAAUAAAGGAUAUUAUUGACAUUUCACAAUAAUAAAAAUUAAAAUAUAUAUUAUAAAAAGCUCGAUAGAGCUCGUCGAGCUCUCGAGUAUCAUAUUUCCAUGAUUGAACUCGACUCGAUAGCUCUAACGAGCAGCUCGAGCUCGAGAUCGAGCUUGAUCAACCGAGCUCGAGCUCGAGCCGAGCUAUUUGGUUCAGCUCCAGCCCUAAUCAUGAACCAAAUACUUUUUGAUUUAUGACUGGAACUCUAACGUAUCAAAUAUUGAUAAUAUCAUGUUUUACCAAAAUUAUUGUAUAUUCAUGAUUCUAUUGCAUAUAAACCACAAUCAUCACAAUUUUUUAUAAACAACGAAUAUAAUUAAGUUAGAAAAAUAAACAUACAUGUAAUUUGAAUUCUUUGUAUUAUGUUAAUUCUAUUUUUGUCAAUAAUGGAGUAUAAAUGAUCCACCACUUAAAGUUUUUUUGGCUUGUACUUCCUGACAAUUAAAAUUUUAUAGAUAGAGAUAGUUGGAGUUUUUCUAUUUUUCUUUUUUUUAUUCAUAUUUUUAGCACAAUCAAAUGCUAAACAAAAGCAAAAAGUCUACUUUUUUCAUAUGAGCACAAUAUUUUUGGUUUUAGUAUUAGUUUUUUUAUGAUCGUGGAAUUAGAAUGAGAAUUGUGGCUAAUUAAAAACUUUAAUACUAAUUUUUUGUAUAUUACAGUGUUUUAUUUUUUAAUUGGCAACUUUUAAUCCAUAACCACUAUCAUUAUUAUUAAUUAUUGAAAUGCACUAAAUCUGUCCAAUUACGAUUGUCACUAUAAAUGAAAUUUACUUAAUUUUAAAUAUUUUCAUUUCAUAACAACUUCCAUUAUUCACUAAUAUUGCAAUACAAUAAAUAUAUGUAAUCAUUAGAAAAAUAAGGGUAUUUUGCACAUCACCGAAAAUAAUUUGGAUAUCAUUCUUCAUUUUAAAAUUACUCUUAUUAUAAUUCUUAUUUUAUCAUUGGAGAUGGCUUCUGACUUGAUGGAUGGAUUUGGUUUGCUUAAACCAAUACAAAUGAAGCAUAACUAUAUUAUUGUCAAUAAAAUGUUUAUCUUCUUCUAGAUAUCAAUGAUUUGGAUGUUGUUUUUGGUAUUAUCUGAAUUGUAUUCUAACUUUUUAAUUCAUCAGCUAUUUACUUUAUGUCGUUUUAUAAAGAGUGUUCAAUUUUUUUUUUUCAGUUUUUCUUGUUUCGAUCGGUUACUAUUAAUGAUAAUAGUGGUUUGUAUGAUGCGAUUUUGGAUUUCCUUUUUCCAGUUUAAUAUUGCUAUUUUAGUUAUAAAGGUAUCAUCAUUUUUUGUAUAUUGAAAUUCCAUUGGGUGCAACAUGAAAAAUUCUUUAUAUUGGUAAAAAGUGCAUAAUUGUAAAAUUUACUAGUGAUAUUUGUAUGAAAAUAUAAAUAUAUGAAUAAGGUUUCUCUUCUCCUUGUAUGUUGCUCCACUUUCUAGAGAGCAUCUAUUUUUUGAAAUUGAUUUUUUUUAUAAUUCAAUUAAGAAAUUUUGAUACGUAUAAUAAUUGGGGAUGGAGUCCAAUGGUAGGUAAAUAGUUUUUAGUGAGCAAUUUUUAAUUAUAAUUACCAAUACUAUUAAGAUGUAAUCAAUUGGAAUGUUUUAUUUCUUUUAAUUAGUACCACAUUCAAAUGCAAUAAUUCUAAUUAAAAAACACAAGAGUAAUUUAGGGAUAACAAAUAUUAAGAUAAAAAAGUACUUACACUUGCACUUUCUAAUACCAAAAUUCAUAUUUUUUAUAUCCUAUAUAUAUAUAUAUAUAUAAUGGAGUUGUAAUUUGUCUGUUGGGUGGUCUACAUCUGACAUUUUAAGGGCAAUUUGGGGAUUGUAUAAGUAUCAUACAAGUAAUCCAUCUUAGAAUACAAGCAAGCCAUACUUAUUGGAGUAUGAGUUUACUAAAAUGCCCUUUGUGAGAUGAUGAUUACAUUGGCAAAUGGUACUUAUGCGUUAUUAGUGACAGUUUCAUCCUUUUAACAACCUACUGAGUACAAUGGUAAGACAGAAAGGAAGUAGGGGUAAAGCCAUCCCAUUGAAUUGAAUGUGUUUAAGACAAUAUUAAUGGGCUAAAGGAAAAGGACCAUUUGAAGACGACUUGUGAAUUGUAAUCGUAGGCAGUUUUGUGCUCUUCAUCGUUAAAGCUCAAGAAACAUUAAUUGAGUUCUUCCAACAUAACACACUCAUUUGGACCAGUAAUUGCAGCAUGUUGAAGAGUCCAUUAAAGUGUGGGAGAUUAACAAUCAUUUGAACUCAACAUUACAACUGUAACUGAAGACCCCCUAUCUUCUCCACCAUUUGGAAAUUAGUUUUUGAACUAAGUGGCAGUAAUGGUAGUCAUUAAUAUAUAAAAUUGUGGGUUUAGAUGUUUCUCUUUCACACCAUCAGAGUCAGAUUUGCAGAGGUAUGCUCAUUUUCACUCGUGCUUCUCGCUUCGUGAACUGUACAGCUUUGUUUGCACAAUAAAAUUCUUGAAUUAGCUUUUGUCAUAACUAUUGCAAUUGGGUGAAGUGUAGGCAAAUUUUCUUGUCAGAUUGCAUUUUGUUCCUCAAGGUACAAGGUAAUUGUGUAUUUCCACUUACUGCAUUUCAUCUGUUGUUUAUAUGUAAUUACAAUUUUAUUGCAUUGAUUACAACUAUGUUGCGUCAUUAAUAAGUGUGUGAAUGAUUGAUCCAAUUUUAAAAUUACAUUACAGGUGAUGCAAUUUUUUAAUCAAUAGUUAAGUGCAUGAGUCGCUGUGUGUGGAUUGAAAUUGCUAUUUGGAUAGACAAGUCUCUAUAUUCAUAUGUUAUGUUAUUUUCUUACUAAAUUUAGUUGAACUCAUGAAACAUAAAUCUUCAGAAGUAACCACAAAACCAAGCUCCGACCACAAUUACUAAAAUUCAAAACUCUGCAGAAGCUGCUUAGCCACCAACCAAGAAAUACCGUAGCUAGAGAAGCAAAAAUCUAAUCGUGUCCUUUCUCAUUCCUGUAUCACCUACUCUUCAAUAGAAAGGAUUGCGAGACUGCUAUCUCAGCUAUUUACCUAAUUACAUCUCAGGACUACUACUUUGUCUAUCUAUCUAUGUGAAUAAUAUGAGGUUGAAUAGUAGAACCAUUCAGCAUCAACUCUCAAUCUAAACUACAACCAUGUCUAUUAUCCCUUAACUAUGGUUGCGUAAACUUCUAUAAUUCUCUCAACUGAUUAUCUAUUAUAAUAGUAUGCAAUGUUUUAUCCACACAUGGCAUGACAUUUUUUGGCUACCAUAAUAAUAUGUCUUACUUAAGGUAAAAACAAAUUGUCCAACAUUACCAAAUUAUUUAACAACACCACAGGUAUAAACUCCAAUGCUUUGCAUGGGCCUUCUCUCUAGUAGUAAUGAUAAUGAUAAUGAUAAUGAUAAUGAUAAAGGACAAAGCAGCAGCUCUAUACCAACCUUCUUUCGCAAAUUAUAAAUGCUCAACAAGCCUCUUGGCAGUUGAUCAUAUGAAUUGCAUGAUCCCCAGUUCCAACUUUCAAGCCGUAACCGAUUACAAGCAAUAUUUGGCUGAAUAAAGCAGAGCGUUAAUCAACGAAUAUCAUCAGCACAAUCUGGAAAUUCUUUGCAUAGAUAAGACGUGCUUCAUAUCCACGUCUUGUUAAUUAAUCUAUAAAGGAAUUGCAGGGCUUGCUUAGUUUAGAACUCCAACCUCGCGCUACCUCACCUCUUGGUGACUCCAGCUUCGACUACAUUUUAUUUGUGUUCUUUUUUCAGUCUAUUUUGAUAAGAAAGCAGCCCCUUGAAAAUAAACAUAACUUAGACAGCGAAGUUUGGGAUGCAAGUUGCAGCCAUACUUAGGACUGGACCUUUUGCUUAUAGAGACUGAUGAGAUAUCCACCUUUCAAACAUUGCUUGACAUUCAGCAGGCUUGUACUCAGGAGGAAUAUGGCCUCCUCCCUGGUGAAAAUUCAGUAUGGUUGGUUCAGGUUUUUCUCAGUUUUUGCAGUUAAAUUGUGCAUUGAAGCAAAAGAAAAUGAGAAUUUCUUGCCUUUACUGUUGCAAACGUCAUCUUAUUUGCGUAGGUCCUCGUAUAACUGCACUUCAAGAAAAAUAAAUCCAUAUGAGUUGUUUCUAUUGUAGUUUUAUCUCAAAUUAGUAAAAGAUUCAUUUUGUGAACGAACCCGGCAACUUGGCCCUGUAGAAUCCAUUGGCGCCAAUCAUCUAUUAUGGAAUAAUUAAGAGAUUUUAUCCAUGCUUGAGUUGCAAAAUGUGGCACAAGCAUAUCAUGGUCACCACUGAACCACAAAAUUUUACUUUCUUCAGAGAAUAACAAUUGACAGAAUUGAAAGUUUACUCAAUGGUUGCACUAAGUGCUAAUAUUUGAACUUGUGAAGCAUAGGCAUCAAACCUGUAUAUCAGAGAUCUGUAGCCUCUAAUGCUGAGGUUUGCAUGGUAUGGCAAACUAUUUCCUAUAUUCCUUAUAUACGGGUAGCGACAGUUGCAUCUUAUCCAUUCUCCAAUACUCCCCUGCCAUGUGAUUUCACAAAAUUACAUGCACAGAGACAAGUAAACAUAACAUGCAUAUUUAGCUGCUUGUUUUCUGUUGACAUACCUUCCGGACAUGGAGGGCCUUUUGAACACUCUCGUCAUUAGCCCAAUGAUAAACAAGUCUAUAUCCAUCCAUCUAAAACAAGCAUAGAAACAAAUCCAUGAUUGUUACGAGAACUCAUAUUAACCACAAGAGUUGCUGCAAAUAAUCACAAUGUGUUUAUGCAGGAGUUCAUGUAGAUAUUGCUAUCUUACACGACACGUAAAUCGUGCAGAAAGUUCCUGAAUUUUCAGCUCUCGAGUCUUCUUACAGAACACUUGAAUAGUUGAUCUCCUGCCAGUGAAUAAAUUGUUUGGCUUUGGGGAAGCAUAAGGACAGUCAGGCUCCAGAAUAUGUCCCUCGUUAAUGUUACUAAGUAACUGCACAAACGUAUUGAUUACAUUAAUUUUGAAAUUGAAGACAAGUUUUUUAGUUAUCCCCCUUUUCUUGGAGAGGGGGAGGGGUUUGGGAAGUUGAGUAUAUGUACUUGGAUAGUGACUCAUUUCUCAAAAUAGAGAAAGCACAGAACUUGCAGAAAAGUGGUUGCUUGCCUGAUUGUAUGCCUGCAUAUUUCGCAAGCAGGGGGCAUUGCUGGGAUCUAUGUUUCGAUAUUCUCCUUUACAGGAAAGCUUCAAGGACUGUGAAACAAUUAUCUUGGCCAAUUAGAGAACUAUGGAAAUUAUUUAGUACUGAGUACGCAAGAAAGUUCUAAAAGACCUCAGGUAUUCAAAGAAUAAACAACCUCAUAGAGCUCAUCAGAAAUUAGCCCCAUCCCAUGAGCAAAUUGGAUUGCAUAGUUUCCAUCACCUGGAGUGGUGGAAGGAUUUCCUAGUAUGUAUCCCUGAAGCCAUUUGAGGGUUGUGACAAGUUAGCAGUGAAGCAUAAAUAAGAAAAUACGAAUAUAGUGUUGAAUCAUGGUUGAAAGUCACGGUCGUGUGACCCGGACCGUUCCACUUUAGUAUUGGCAUAUCGGUCGCGGUCUUGGCGAGACGCAAAUUUUUGAAACAUUUAGUAUUCUAAAAUUGUAAAAAAAUAUGAUAAACAAAAAUAAUAAAAAAUUAGCAAAAAUAAUAAAAUUUCAAGUUGACUCGGAGCGAUUCGGCAGCUUCUAUCCGUCUCGGAGACGUCUCGGCCGAAUUUUUGGCGAUCCAUUAUGUUGGAUUCAUCUCGUCCCAGUAUCAGAACGAAAAACCCCAUUCCGGUGACGACUCGGCCGAGUCAUCUUAGUCUCGGGUGAGUCUUUGAACCAUGGUGUUGAUACACCAGAUUAGUAAAUGAAGCGCAUUUCUUAAACAAUGGUCAACCUCAGUAUGAAGAAAAUUUGUCCAGGUAUCUAGUUAUCUUGCUAUCCCUAGAUGAAAGAGAGAAGAUUAUGAAAAAUACAAACCUUAAGAUUGAUAAGUGGCUCAAUACCGACCUCAUUUCCUGCAGAGGCACCAGAACAUUAGUUUUAGAGCCAUUGAAUCCUUUGAGAGAAUUCUUCAACAUAAGCAAGUGCAAGGACAUUGAACAGUGCAACUUCGAGUCAUUAGGGUCCAACUCGAAAGAAUAAUGCUGCAAAGAUAAAUAAACUGUAUGCAGAUUCUGGAGGCACUUUCUAUUUCUAUUUCUCUCAAAGCUCGGUCAUUAAAUUGUAAACAUUGACUUCAAGUGUAAGCAGGCAGUAUGUCUACUAAACACGCUUGGGAUAUCUAAAAUUUCAAAAGCAUUUGCAAUACCUUCAAGUCUUUUACAAAGGCUAGUAAAUAACUGUUAUCAUCGGAAUGUACUAGAGCCUAAUCAAUAGGAGGUGCCUACAUAAAGAACCAAAUUAAGGGCCUACCAUCUGAUAUAAUUUGAGUGACAAUUGGUACAGUAAUCCCUGAGUACGAGUCUCCACCAAUAUAGACUGGACUGGAAAUGAACUCUGGAUGAUCAACCAGCCACUGUAAAGCAAUCAACAGUUGAGAGGCGCUUUGCAAAAGAUGAAUAUCAUUUAUCAUCACUCUUUUCAUGUUAAUGUCAUUGAGAAGUCUACAUGCUUCAAUACAUGGAUCAUUAAAGCUUAGGUCACCAGCAAGCUUUAUUUUAUGAUCUAAAUCGGUAAAGACGUAACGAAUUCUCAAUCACCAAAAUAAUGGACGCGGUUGUGAACUUCUUUUAUGGAUACUUAUGCAGUACAUAACAACAUAUAAACAGAGAAAAUUGAUAUACACUUUCACUUAAAGUAAAAGAUUUGCCUACAAAUAUGGCAUUUUCCUGAGUAGUAAUUAGAGGUGACAUCUAUAACUGGCAGUUUGGUCCAAAGGUACUGGAGUCUUGUCCAGGUCUACGUAGGCAGGGAUCAAAUCUCUGGUUCAGUGGCAUCAAGAUAAAAGUGGCAACUUUCUAGCUUUUGAUCAAUUGCACAUGGUCUCCAUGCUCCAUCAAAAUGAUGGCUAAUGAUCAUAUAAUGGUAGGCGUGUACCUUUCUAAGAAAUUCGUAGGCUUGGUUACAGGCUUGUAAAACUGUGGACUGAGAAGCUUUUGCAGUCCUUGCAUAAGAAAAACCACUUGCCACUGGCAAAUCGACAAAUAUUAUGCUUGCCACCUGAAAAGUAAUGACACAUUAUGGUCAGUCUAGCAUUCAACUAAACACCAGAAAAUUGAACAUUAUCAAACACUAUCAGUAGUGAACUAGUGAUAGAUCAGUAAUCUACUGUACGAUGAACUUUCUGUUUUGACUUAAGAGUCUACCCUACCAGUAUAUCAUUGAUAUCUUUUGACCAAAAAGGAAGAAAGACACUCGAUGAUGAGUUUACCUUAGUCCAAGAAUAGGGAUUUAACAGCAACUUGGGCAAAGUCCCAUGGUACAGCACUUGCUCGAAUUUUAUUGGCCCUGCAAAAUCACAGGUCAAUGAGGAAUUGGUUGGGUUUUGGCGUGUUUCCGCUCCACUAAAUACAUCAUUCAUACAGAGAGGAUUGGGUUUGAAACACUGAUGGGAAAAAGGGUGGAUAUUGAUGAAGCCAAAAUCUAUUGUCAGAAAAAUGGUUUCUUUUGCUCUUUUCCUGGACGUACGAUUGAAAACAAUCCUGAAUCCUGUGAAAAGGAUGUUUUACUGAGUCUUGCUUGUAUUCAUUAAUUAAAACAUGUAUACAAAUAUACGGGCCUCCCCAACUAGAUAUAUGUCUGGUGAAACAACCAAAAGGAAGAAGAAAAAAAUACAGGGGCCUAAUAUAGAAUCGCAGAGUACAUAAUUUAUGAAGCUAAGUUUCUGAAACUGGCAAAAAGGGAUCUUUCAAGAUUUCAAGCUUGUGCAAAAGUCAAAGAUGAAAGGGUAUGGUGGAAUUAUGAAGAAAUCAGGAAAAGGGAUUACGUAUAAUCCAUGCUCUUAAUUCACACUCCAUACUUAUUAUCGGCGUGCACUAAAUCUACCUAUCUCAUAAGCAAGCCCAGAGAAUGAGGUGCAGCAAUUGCCUCCAGUCAACCAGAGCACAAGAGGGUCUGUUUCAGGACUGGACUCUGACUUGACAAAGUAGUAGAAAAGCUGCACAUCCUCUGAUUCAUCAACUCCUAUAUACCUGGUUGUACAAUCUCAAAACUACUUCAAUCUUUCCCAAGUUAAUGCACCAGAAAUUAACUUACUGUUACAAAAAUAUUGAGUUACCCACCCGGUUUCGAGUUCAAAUGGCAGAGGUCCUUCGAAUCCUGGGAGAAACUUAACAGGGGAACCAGCCGAAGCAAGGUUUGAACAUAAUUGCACAAGAACUAGCGGCAAAAUCAGGUAGCUGAAGAGAGAGGAUCGAAUGAGAAUGCGCAGCUUCCCAGUUGAGCAGCUUGGCCUAACAUGUUCUGUCAUCUCUUUACUUGGCGGAGUAACUGUAGUUUUCCAACUCCAACAAUGGAUAUGCUUACAAUUCUGCUGAUGCCCGGCACUGACGCUCACUCUGGCUGUUUCUUCUCACAUCUUCUUUCCAUAAUAAAUAGAUUAAAAACUGUGGCUCCUCCAGAGUCCAAACGUGCCUAUUCAAUUACCUAGGUAGGAGGAAGUACGAGGUGCUCUUCUCUUCUUCUUUUUUUUUUUUUUUCCCAGUGAAUAAGACAGGUAAAUUAGCUUGGACGCUUCUCGUCGGCGGACCUUGAGAAAAACGUGUCCCAGUCCCUAACGUGACCUCACUGCUUAGGUUGCUUGACAAUUGACAUUGUACUUUGACAGCAUGCAAUUGAGUUUAAACGUCGUUUUUAGCCAUUGAAGAAGCAAUGAACUUGCCCGGACCGAGCUGACCUGACGAGCUCGGCGUGCUGAUGAGAAGAGCGUGUCACAAACCUGCAAAGUGAACAAGAGAAUGAUCUCGCAGGGGAGCCCCGAGGUCGUCCCCGAGGGCACUCCGACGAUCAAAUUAGUUUUCCGAUGAAUGAGGUUCACGGGAAGUAAAAUGGUCCAGAGUAAUUGGCGAAUAGUGAGCGUACCUUGUGCAGUGGAUGUGCGUUACCAUUUAUACCUGCUUGUGAGUCCGACUUCCGUACGUUUCGGGACCUGUCACGAAUAGUCUCAAUCCCGCGCCGAGGGGAUUCUCCCCGCCCUCUGCGGGAUCGCUUCCCAGGGCUUCUCGGGGCCUGGGGUAUGUUUGUGGGCGAGCGGGGGGGCUGGUGGGAAUUACAGGGGCCGGGGGAGCUCGGCUAAGGAUUUACCAUCCGGAUGACAAGGACGAUAAAGUAUCGAUAAGUCUAAGACCACACAUUCGCCAGAAACUAGAAAAAGCGGUAGAAACUAGCCGACACAAUUGAUUCAUGUACGAUGCGAACGUGGCAUUUACACACCCGGGUGCUGUGUCAGGGACCCAAAAUAGUGGAGUAAUAAAAGACAGCUAUUUGGGGUUGGUAAACUUCAUUUGGUCCUUUGAACUCCAAAAUUUUAAUUCAGUCAGUCAAAUUGGAAAAGUUCAAUUUGGUCCUUUGAAAUACUCUAGUACUAUUUAGAUUGCUUAAUAGGAAUUUGGAUUUGUAAUACAUUAAUUAUUAAAAUAUAUUUUAAAUAUUAGAAUAAUUAGUAGCUUACAAAUGUAAAUACUUCCUAAAUAAUUUUAACUACUAGAUAGAUUUGAGAAGAUGUCAAAUCAUUUGUCAAAUCCCUUAAUUCAAACGAGUAUCAAUUUGGUCCCUAACAUAAAAUCUCAAUUUGAAGCAUGGAACUAAAUAAUUCAGGUUAGUCUCAUAGAAGUGAGAAAUUUUUUUAAUUUGGUCUUUUAAAUCUAUUAUGUUAAAAAAUAUGGGUAAAUAUGUCUUGUACUGACUAUAUAUACAAACUAUUGGGUCUAGAUACAUAUCGUGCAUAUAAAAUGUGAAACUCAAAUUCAAGUUAUGAUGCUCUAAUAUAUUUUGUCAGUGUAGCAAUUCAUCUGAAAAAUAUUAUAUCAUUAAAUUAUAGACAAAUGUUAUGUUUGUCAUCUUAUGAAACAUGUGCUCGCCUUAGUGAUUUACAUAAUAAAAAUGUAUUAGUUUACUCAUAGAGAAUCAAGUUAUGACGCUACAUUAUUUAACUAAUUCAAAAUUCCAAAAUAUUUUGAGAUAAAAUUAGAAGAAAGAGUCAAGAGAGCACAAUUUUUUCGUCGAAAAAUAAAGGUCGGUUUGCUUAUUUUUCUUACUGAAAAAUAAGGACUAAAAGUAAAAUUUAUUGUUUAAAAUUAAUAGGCAUACAACCUCCCAUUGAUUAACAUCUAUCUAAAAAUUUUGUCAUAUAAACAAAAGAGUAAAUUAUGUCAUUUAUAAUGCUAUUUGAAACAAAAAAUGGAAAUAAAGUGUUACUUAAAAACAUUAAUGAACUAACUAAGAAUAUAUGGUUAAUUUACCAGUUGGGAUGUCUGUACUAGUUGAGUACUAAUUUUAUUAAAUUCAGUAUUAUUUAGUUUUUUUUUACAGUCAAAUAAAUUUAAAAAAGUUAAAAGUCUGUCGUGUUUGGUUAAAUCGAUUGAUCAAUAAAUCGAAAACUUAUUUAGUUCAUUUAUCGAUCUUGAUGCAAAAAUAUUGAGUUGAAGCGAAUUAGUAGUUCAAUUUUAUAUUUCUCAUCUCAUGGUUAUGCUUGUAUUAGAAACCUCUAAAACAUAUCAAAUCCUUUCCUUACUUUGUUAUAUUUUCUUUUUUAUUAUUGUUUCCUUUUGUUCUUCACAAAACUCCCUAAUCUCGGCCAAUUUAGUUUAGGUGCUGAAUUACUUUAAUUUUUCUUUGCCUUUACCUCCAAUUUUUACAAGUUUGUGCUCUCACUCAUAUAAACAAAACACUCCGUGAGAAUUUUUAUAAUAUUCCAAUUCAUUUUUUAACAUUUUUUAGUAUAAAUAGGAGGGAUCGAAUCCAAAACCUUUCACUUACACUCUCUUCUCCAAACCAAUUAGCUAUAAAUAUAUAUGUUGAACUAAUUGACAGACUCGUACACUUAAGUAACUAAAGUAGAUAUGAUUUUUAAAUGCUGCUAAAAUUUGAUUUUUAAAGAGAUGGAUAAAGGAAAAAAGGAAAUAAGUUGCGUGGAGACAAAAUGAAAAUUUAGUGGAGAGAAAAUGCAUUGGAAAAAAAAAAAGUAAAGCGGGUAGAAAUAAAAUGGAUAUGCAACAAAAAAGAAAAAGAAAUGGAAGAAUGAAAAAUGAGUCAAGAGUACAGAAUAUUUACUAUAGAUCAAGAAGAGUAUUUGAUCAAAAAACUUGAAACGAGGCCAAACUUGAAACGAGCGUUAUGAUAACGAAACUGUUUUGACCUGAUAUAACAGGUAAAAACACUUUUAGCGACCAUUUGAUUACCUGUUGUACUGGUCAUCUAAAUAAAAUAGUACCUAAAAAUAUGGUUAGUAAGUUUUACAUUAAAAAUAGUAAAUUAACUCAAGAAAUUAGUAACUUUUAUGUCUCAAAAAGUAAAUUUGAAGAAAUAUGGAACUUACUUUUUUUUUUUUAAGUAAAUAACUACUCUAUAUCUAAAACUUACUUUUUGGAGAGUAAGUUUAGUUCAAAUAAUAGUAAGUUUUUAUAGACUAAUAGUAAAUAUUGUUGAUAGAAUAGUAAAUUUGGUUAAUCAUCAAAACUUACUAGUUUAUGGCAUAAAUUUACUAUUUUACUUAAAGAAACUUAUAUGGAACAAGUAUUAGGAAGUUUAUUUGAAAUAAUGCUAAGAUUUUUUAUUAAUAAUUGAAACUUAAUAUUAUAGUUAGUAAUUACUCGUAAUGUAAAUGUAUGAUACACAAUUGUACGUAUCAUUUAUAAAUGUUAUAUGUUUUAAGCAUUUUAAAUAAACUAUGAAAACUUUUUUUUUGCAUAUGACCUUAUAAAAUAUGUAAGAAUAAUUUGUCAUAUUAUAAAUUUUGAAUUAUUUUUGAAUUUGUGAAAGGUUAAAAAGUUUGGAUGACAGUAAAAAAAAAUCUUUCGAGUUAUAUAUAGAAUUGCACUUAUCUAUACAUCACAAUUUCCAUAUAUGGACACCGAUGAAUAUAAUAAAAUGGUACGUAAUUUUCAUAUAUUAAUGCGUAUGAAUUUAAUAAAAUGGUAAAAUCUUAAUAAAUUUAUUUUCUGGGUCACAAGUAUAAAAAUUAAAGUUGUAUUAACAUAGCAUAAUCUUUGAAAAUUAUAGUAAAAUUACCCAUAUGUUAAGUUCUGUGACUUUCAAACAUACUUUGUGUCAUUUACAUUAUGGAUUUGUAUCCAUAUGUUUUCUAUCAAACUUUUUUUUUAUUGGCAAAUGGUAAGUAAAUUAUUAUAAAAGGGCAUUUUAUAAUAAUCAUAAUUUUUAAUAGAUGAAUUUUAUAUAAACUGUUAAAAUUAUGAAUUCACAAACGACUAAAUCUGACUACUUUAUGGCACAUAUUAGUCUAAAUGACUAAAAAAUUACUGUAAUAAUGUGCACGUUGAUUGUUGAAUUGAAAUUUCCUUUAUUACUAGUACAAGUUCUUCUAAUCAAAGCAAAAUAAAAUCAAAUAUCUUUUCCUUUUGUAUGUAGUAGUUAUGCUUAAUAGAAAAUAAUUAAACCAUUUUUAUAAUACAUAAUUUCUCCUAAAAUUUGUAACAUUAACAUGACCUCUAACCUUGACAUCGUUAUUUAAUUUACCUUCUAAAUUUAAUUUAAUUUUCUUAUAUUAAUUGUUAUACUAAUUUUAUCAUUUUUGUUAUUAUAUUAUUUCUCAUUUUGUUUAGGCUUUUACUCUUAUUAUUUCUUGUGUCUCAAAUGUAAAUUUAUUAAAACUUUAUCAUCUUAUUGUAUUCAUAGGUGUUAAUUUAUAAAAAUUUUGAUACAUAAACAAGUAAUAUUCUAUAUAUAACUAGGAAGAUUUGUUGUUAUUAUUAUCCAAACUUUCAAACUUUUCAAAAAUUGAAAAUAAUUAAAAACUUAUAAUAGGACAAAAUUUUAUUACAUAUUUUACGAGAUUAUGUGAAAAGUCAAACUUUUUUCCAUAGUAUUUUAAAAUAUGUAAAUAAAUUUUUUUUAAAUGAUAACUAUAAUCUUGUAUUAUACAGGUAUAUUAUGAGUAUUUACUAACUAAGGUACUAAAAAUUAAUCAUUAAUAAAACAUCUUAUCGUUAUUUCAAAUAAAUUCCCUAACACUAGUUUGAAAUAUGUUUUAAAGUAAAAUAGUACAUGUGUCUCAUAAAUCAGUAAGUUUUGAUUAUUAAUCAUUUUUACCAUGUUAUCAGUAAGAAUUACUAUUUAUGUAUUAAAACUUACUAUUACUUGAAUUAAACUUACACUAUAAAAAGUAAGUUUGGGAUAUAAAGUAGUAAUUUAUUUAUUUAGAAAGUAAGUUUAAUGUUUAUUCCAAUUUACAUUUUGAAGUAUAAAAGUUACUAAUUUAUUACUGUUAACUUACUAUUUUAGAUGAAAAACUUACUUUUUUAUUUUUAAGUAUUAUCCUAUUUAGGUGGAUAGGCCUAUCAAAUAAUCAAAUGGCCGCUAAAAGUAAAUAAAAAAUAAAUUAAAAAUGGUCAUAUAAGUGUUAUCCUAUUUAUGUUUCAAAAAGUAAAUCGAAAUAAAAAUGAAUGAAAGUUACUUUUUUUAAAAAUUAAAUUAUUACUCUACAUUCGAAACUUAGUUUUGUGGGGAGUAAGUUUAGUUCAAGUAAUAGUAAGUUUUUAUAGAUUAAUAGUAAAUCUUGUUGAAAGAAUAGUAAAUUUGGUUAAUCAUCAAAACUUACUAGUUUGUGGCAUAAAUUUACUAGUUUGUUGAUUUGAAAUUUGCACCAAAGUCACUAUUUCGUUAUUACUACCACAAGUUUUUUCUAAUCAAAGUAAAACAAAGUCAAAUAUCUUUUCCUUUUGUAUGCAGUAUUUAUGUUUAGUACAAAAUUAGUAAACCAUGAUUACAUUUCAUAAUUUGUAAUGAAAUUAGUAACAUUUUCUAAAUUAAUUGGAACAAUUUGUAAAAUAUAUUAUUUUUUUACCAAUAUAGUUAGGGGUGGCAAUCGGGUCCAAAUCGUAUUGGUGUGUCGGGUUGAGAUCGGGUAUAAUAGAAAACCCGCUGAUCCGAACUUAACCUGCCAACCCGAAAUGGGUCUAGUUAAAGGGAACAGUGAUCCAUCCACCUCUUUUCGGCGGGAUUGGAAAGUUGACCUGCUUGGUUCUUCUGUGUCCAUGGAUGCAGGAAUUAACUGUUAAUAUGAGGCAGGUGCCUAGCUAAAAGUUUGUCCCAUUAUUCCUAAUUGGCAGAUUGUCAUUAAAUAGAAAGGCAGAUUGUCGUUUAGGAGUAAAAACUUCUAAUGCUCGCAGAAAUAAAUAAGAGUACGUGCUCCUACAACAGAAUGUAUGUUACACCGCCAUUAAUGUGGUAAGGGCAUCCUCCUGAACUUAAAUCACAAUUAGAAACGAACCAUAUGCUUGGUUUCAAACUCAAAAACUCAUUUCGAAAGCUCCAGAGUUUCGAAAUUCUUGCUUUAUGGAUACAAGCAAAUCACAUAAACGCACAGGUACUUGGUUAACACAGCAAAAAACUCCACGGGAAAGUUCAUGUCGUGCUUAUUUCUUAGAAGGAAAUUGCAGACUAUUAGUAUAGUAUAGCAGUCACAACACUUCCACAACACAUCUUCAAGUUUUCUGAGAUCUAUCCAGUUUAAAGCCUAAAAACCGUGUGCUGAGUAUUGUAUAACAUGGAGUAUUUGAGUUGCUUUUCGAGUUCUGCUCAUCAAGUAAGCCAGUCCAAUUUGAAGUAAACAACAAAAUCUACAUGCACAAGACAUUUGAUAUGAAAUUGGUAUUUCAAAAUAGGAGAAAACAGCUCAUUUUGAGCAUCAGAAUGAAUCUACUCACCUAUUUAUUUAGUACUUGGAAUAAACAAAGGUCCAUCUAAUUCAAAUUGGCCAACAAGUCACUAGAAAAUAGGAUUUCACCUCCUUACAUUGAAAUGCAAUGCUGGAUUUAAAGUUUCCAUGCAACGUGUUCUUCCACCUAAGGCCUAUAAUAUCGGAAUUUCAGCCUAAUUAUAAUGAACCGCACUUGCAGCAACUAGAUUAAUCUGAAAGAAGCAACAGCUGGUAGAGAAUCAGAGCAUAUCAUCAUAAGGAAAAUCAAUCAUUUGAUGCUUGCAUCGGCUUAUGUCUCUAUUGCUUGUCCAGGUUCAUGCAUGUAGUUUGAAUGUUUAACCACUAACAAAAAUAGCAACCUGAGAUUUAAUAUCAUUUACUAGCUUUUAAUAAUUGAUACUUACGCAUCAAAAUUAAGCUAGCAGGACACUAGAUAUAGCUAUCUAAGCAUGACAAGAUUACAUGGCCAAGAACUGAAUUUAGAGCACAAAGACUUUGGCUUCAGAAAUCUGAAGCAAUCAAAAGGCUAGUAACUUGAUUUGAGAAUUUGAUCACCAGCAUCAAGGGCUCUGAUAUCACUAUCAAAAGCUUCAGUUUGGAUUGAAAUUUCUGGUUUACAAACCCAAGAGCACUUGGAUGCUAACAAUAUCUGAAAUUUAAUCACCAAACUUUUUUCCAAGCAAGCUGAAAUUAUUCACAUUAAAACAAGUAAACACCAGAAAUUACAAACUAAGGAGAUUAUGUUCAGAUUUACAAUCAAAACGCAUUAAACUAUCUUCGAAGAAACUAAAAUCAUCCUAAAAGCUUUGAGCAAAGACGUGAAAAAACAUUUGUACUCUCUCAAGAAUAAAAUUCCUUAAUGGUCUUGGCUGAAAUCUGGUUCAUUCACUACAAAACCAUCACAAGAUUUGUAUUAAAAAAAAAGCCACAACAACACAUAAUCAUAGCAAAUAAAUAACAUAAAACUUAGGCGUGAAGAAGGAAAAAUGUACCUGAAUACUUUUCGUCUCCUAACAAGCUAGUGUUUUGUACAUGACUUUGGAUUAAUGAAGGAUUGCAUGCCCACAUUAAUGCCUAUACAAAUGCAAAUAGAGCACCAUUAUAUUUCAUGCCUUCACACAAAAAUAAAUAAAAGCAAGCUAUACAUUACCUGACCAGGAGGAAUGAUCUGAAACCAAUUACUAUCCAUUAAUUCCUUAUUGCUUCCAUGCUGUGAAUCUGAUUGCAAUAGGCCAUCGGAUGAUCCUAUCAGAUUCAAAUUUACAUUCUCAACAUGAUUGGGUGCCCCAACAUGAUCAUAAUUGUGAGUUUCAUAUGCAUCUGUGCACACCUUAGUACUUUUUCGUCUAUCAUGUCCAAAUGACCUGCGGGAAAAAAAUUGCCAAGCACAAUCCAUAAACAAAAAGAUUGAAUUUAUUCAUAUACUCCUUUAGUAUUUGAAAUAUCAUCUCCCUUUUAGUGAUCCCUCUUAUUUUUGAAAUCUUAACUGCUUACAUUUGGAAACUGUUCUAUGAAUUUUCUCUCCUUUCCUGACUGAAGAAGAGGGAAGAUGUGAUUCUACAAAAUCUACAUGUAUCAUAGGAUGGUAAUAAGAAUUGCUUCUGCAACACAGAUUUACAAGAGUAAUAAUGGCCAAAUUUCCGUGGCAUUGUAGACGUUACAAUGGAGUAAAAAAUUCAAGAGGCUGAUAAUAAAUUUCCAUAGAUGGCCAAAUUUCCGUGGCAUUGCAGACGUUAACAUGGAGUAAAAAAUUCAAGAGGCUGAUAAUAAAUUUCCAUAGAAACAACAUAUUCACAACAAUGAUUCUAGAUCAGUUCAGUUCAAUAACAUUUGCUCCAUCAAGCGUAUCAACUUAGAAUUCCAAAACGGGAGAAAUCUCUCUUGCCUGAAGAAUUCAAGUUAUAAAGCUCAUGUUGAGUUACUAAUACAUUAGUAAUUCUCACCCGCACAAAGUAGCAAUCACAACAUACAAAUUUCUCUUUGACAUUUCACCAAACAUCUUACAUGCAUUCACAAAUUAAUCACAUUUAACUUAAACGCCUGGUCUCAAGUCCUUUUCUAGAUGUUUCACAUGGCUAUUAAGCAUAUUUUACCCGUAGACAAUCAAAACUACAACCAUUUCCUCGAUGUUUCAACGGACAUUUUCGGCCCCAAAAUUGCAAUAAAAUCUUCAAAUUCUCAGCCUUGAUUUCCCAAGAAAAUCUUGACAAACAAAACAAAUGAAAUAUAAAUAAAUUACAGCAAUAUAAUCAAACGAUUUCAAGAGAACAUGAUGAUCUAACUUCGUCACUGCUAUUUUUCAUAUGCUCUUUGGCUGGCUACCACCGUCGCUAACCCUUUUGUUGUGUCUGCAUAUGGCAGCACUCAAACCCAACCGAACAAUGAGAAAGGAUAGAGGGAAAGUGUGAACUAAAGAUGAAAAUUUUGAAGUGAGAAGAUUUAUUCAAUUGUAACAAAGAGAAAGUGUGGACCAAAGUGAAAACCAUUGCCUAGGAAUUCAAUCGUAUCAUUGGAACUGAGAACUGAAUAAGAAGAAGGUAGAUGACUUUAAAGAGAAAGGUGAUACCCAAAACCGUUUUCAGGAACCCAAACCGUUUUUUUUACUUAAAUAUGUACAUUUUUUACUUUUAGUAUUAGUAAGUUUAAUUUAAACAUAAGUAAAUUUUGUCAAAUAAUAAGUAAAUUAAAUUACUCAAGGUCUAAAUUUCUGUUUCUGACUAAAACUUAUCUUUCAGGCAUAUACUUACUAGUUUUAAUUAAAAACUUACUAAAGUUAAUAUUAAUUAUUUUACUAUAAUAUUUUAAAAGUCGCUAAAAGAUUUGAUCUGUCACUAAAGGUAAUAGAAACCUAUAAUAGCAGGUUUCCCUAAUAUCGUUACCAUAACUAUAGGCACUGUAGCACUGUCCAUAAAAUUCCUGCAGAAAAAAGAAACCCUACAACUACAACUAGCCUUUUGCCCUUUCAUUUUAAAGUUACGGUUGCCACAUAAAUUAAAUUCUUAUUCUCUCUCUCUCUUAUUUUUUUCUCCUACUUUCUUUCUCAUGCAUCUUACACAACUAUCUAAUACAUCUCGAAUUCUCAUUAUUAUGAAAAUAAUUCCUAUCUUUUUUUUCUUUUUUUUUGUAAGUAUUAUUGAAUUGAAAUUGCCAAAUGUCAAGUUAUCGGAUCAAAUUUGUUGUCAAACUAAAUGAAGGUGAAAAGUAUGGUAGUGAUAUAGAGCAUAGACAAGAAAAUAAAAGUGAUAGUUAAAAUGGAAACCUAGAUUGAGAAAGGUUAUGUUAUUAUGCCAAUUAUGUAAAAAAAAAAUUUUGGGAUAAAAAUUGCAAUCCGAUUUACCUAGAGACAUGGGAUAUGGUCUCUAGUAUUGCUUUUAGUUGCUCCGUAUUGGUAUUUUUGGUGGGUUAGAUUAUUUUAGCAUCAACAUGGUUGCAGCCAUUUAGAUUGAGUUUAGAUAGUGAUAUUGGUCAACUUAAACAUUAAAUUUAGACAAAAAAAAUUGAGGCUAAAGAUUAGGUUGAAUACAAAUUUUAAUUGUCACAGUUGAUUUGCAUGGGAAGCUUUGGAGCAGCAAUGGUAGGUUUGUCAAAAUUGUGAGAAUGUGGGGAUUAAGUUAGUGUGUUUUCUCCCUUCUAAGUAACAAAGAGGUAUUUUAGAAUUUUGAAGAACAAAUUUAGCAGAUUGAGUCUAUAUUGUUACUGAAAUACUAAUCAUAAGGGAGGUAGGUGUAAUUUUUUAAACUAGAGAGGAGUUUUCUGCAAUAAUCAAAAACUUCAUGGGAGGUUUCUAAAAUUAUCCCUAAAUAGUAUUAAAAACAGUGGCUUCUUCAAAGUCCAAAUGUGCCUAUCCUAGGGGUGCAAACGAGUUGAAUCGAGUCGAUUUUCACCCUAAUUGAGCUAAAUCUCAACAUAAUUUUACGAAAUUCGAAAUCGAGCUCGAACUCGACAGUUCAAAGUAUCAAAUUUGAGCUCAAUAAUUAUUAUUUUAUUUUUUAAAAAUGAAUGAAAUAAUAAUUUUUUAAUAAAUAAUGAAAUAUUAGGGAUAUAUAUGUCAUUUUACUAUUAAAAUAAAAAAUAUAUAUAUAAAUAUAAUCGAAUUCGAACCGACUCACGAGCUAACGAAUUUAGUAUUUUUGAAUUCAAUUCGAAUUCGAGUUUGAUUUGGUCAACUCAAACUCGAUUAGAACUCAUGUUACCGAACUCGUAUUCGAACCGCUAGCGAUUAGUUCACAAACGAUUCGAUUCGUUUGCAACUCUAACUUGUACAAUUACCUACUUAGCAGUGAUUCCUCUAGAAUCCAAAUGUGCCUCCCUACAAUGUGCUCGUCUUCCCUUUUUUACCUGUGAAAUAAGACAGGUAAAUUAGCUUGGAUGCUUCUCGUUGGCGGACCUUUAGAAAAACGGAUCCCAAUUCCUAACAUGACCUCACUGCUUAGAUUGCUUGACGAUUGACAUGGUACUUUUGGGAGCCUGCAAUUGAUCUUAAACGUAGUUUGGCCUUCAUUUGCCACGCUAAACAAAGAUGUGUUAAAAGUCAACAUUUUUAUAAUACACUAUUGUCAUUUGUCAUUUCUUGCCUUUAUUGUUGCAAAUGUCACAUCUUAUUCACGCCAGUCCUUGCAUAACCGCACGUGGGAAAACAAGAAUAAAUCCAACAGAAAGAGUUUCUGUGAAGUUAUAUCUCAAGCCAAUAGUAAUUAACAGAAUGUAUUAUAUUUGAACGAACCCAGCAACUCGGCCUUGAAGCAUCCAUGGUCUCCAAUCAUCAACAAUUGAGUAAUUUACACAUCUUAUCCACGCUUGAGUUGCGAGGUACGGUGCAAGCAUGCCAUGGUCACCACUGAAUUGCAAGAUAUUGUACUUUCAAUACAUAUAAUUGCCUUGAAUACGUAUAAAGAUUAAGAUUACUAAUGUUGUGUAUGGCAAGCCAUAGUUGCACCAGAUCCAAUCUUAAAUACUCCCGUCAUGAAAUUUAGACAAAAUACAAAGGAACACAUAAAAAUAAGUUGCAUAUACAAAGGCACGCACCAAAAAGUAUCAUCGUUUUACAUUAGUUGUUUUUGAAAGUAUUUUUAAAAUAUUUUAUUAUAACAAAAUAUAUAAAAAGUUUUUAUUGUAGAUAUUUUUUGUAGCGUUUUUGGAGAGAUUUUUUUUUAAAAUACAUUCGAAUAACUUUUAAAAUUAAAUAAAAUAAAUUACUUUUAAAAAUUAAUACUACCACUCACAACAACCACCACUCCUACUCACCAUAACCAUCACCCCCUCCCUCCUUUCUUCUCCCCUUUCCUCUUCUUCCUCCUCUUCCCUCUUCCUCCUUCCUAGGAAGAGGGAAGAGGAGGAAGAAGUGGAGAAGGGAGAGGGAGGAGAAAGAAAAAGGGAGGGGAUGGUGGUGGUGGAUGGUAAUUGCUAUCGAUUUUUGAAGUUCAGGGUAUCACAUAAUAUGGAAUUAGGUAAAACUGUAAAGUCUUGGGCCCUAAAAUCUGACCAUUUAUUUAUAAAGGACAAAGCAGCUGCUCUAUGCCAACGUUCUUUCGGAACAUAUAAAUGCUAAACAACCCUCUUGGCAGUUGAUCAUAUAAAUUGCAUGAUCCCCAGUUCCAACUUUCAAGCCGUAACCGAGUACAAGCAAUAUUUAGCUGAAUAAAGCAGUGUGUUAAUCAACGUAUAUCAUCAGCACAAUCUGGAAAUUCUUUACAUAGAUAAGACGUGUUUCAUAUAUCCACGCCUUGUUAAUUAAUCUAUAAAGGAAUUGCAGGGGCUGGCUUAGCUUAGAACUCCAACCUCGCGCGACCUCACCUCUUGCUGACUCGAGCUUCGACUACAUUUUACUUGUGUUCUUUUUUCAGACUAUUUUGAUAAGAAAGCAGCCCCUUGAAAAUAAACAUAACUUAGACAGCGAAUUUUGGGAUGCAAGUUGCAGCCGUACUUAGGACUGGAGUUUUUGCUUAUAGAGGCUGAUAAGAUAUCCACCUUUCAAACAUUGCUUGACAUUCAGCAGGCCUGUACUCAGGAGCAGUAUGGCCUCCUCCCUGGUGAAAAUUCAGUAUGAUUGGUUCAGGUAUUUUCUCAAUUUUUACUGUUAAAUUGUGCAUUGAAGCAAAGGAAGAUGAGAAUUUCUUGCCUUUACUGUUGCAAACGUCAUCUUAUUUGCAUAGGCCCUCGUAUAACUGCACUUCAAGAAAAAUAAAUCCAUGUGAGUUGUUUCUAUUGCAGAUUUAUCUCCAAUUAGUAAAAGAUCCAUUUUGUGAACGAACCCGGCAACUUGGCCCUGUAGAAUCCAUUGGCGCCAAUCAUCUAUUAUGGAAUAAUUAAGAGAUUUUAUCCAUGCUUGAGUUCCAAAAUGUGGCACAACCAUAUCAUGGUCACCACUGAACCACAAAUUUUUACUUUCAUCAAAGACUUAAUAACAAUUAACAGAAUUGAGAGUUUACUCAAUGAUUGCACUACGUGCUAACACUUGAACUUGUGAAGCAUAGGUAUCAAACCUGUAUAUGAGCGAUCUGUAGCCUCUAAUGCUGAGGUUUGCAUGGUAUGGCAAACUAGUUCCUAUAUUCCUUAUGUACGGGUAGCGACAGUUGCAUCUUAUCCAUUCUCCAAUACUCCCCUGCCAUGUGAUUUCACAAAAUUACAUACACAGAGACAAGCAAACACAACACGCAUAUUUAGCUGCUUGUUUUCUGUUGACAUACCUUCCGGACAUGGAGGGCCUCUUGGACACUCUCGUCAUUAGCCCAAUGAUAAGCAAGUCUAUAUCCAUCCAUCUAAAACAAGCAUAGAAACAAAUCCAUAAUUGCUGCGAGAACUCAAAUUAACCACAAGAGUUGCUGCAAAUAAUCACAAUGUGUUUAUGCAGAAGUUCAUGAAGAUAUUACUAUCUUACACGACACGUAAAUGGUGCAGUAAGUUCCUGAAUUUUCAGCUCUCGAGUCUUCUUACAGAACACUUGAAUGGUCGAUCUCCUGCCAAUGAAUAAAUUGUUUGGCUUUGGGGAAGCAUAAGGACAGUCAGGCUCCAGAAUAUGUGCUGUGUCAAUGUUAGUAAGUAACUG